rnacentral:misc_RNA from 1 species
GAUGAAGAACGUAGCGAAAUGCGAUAAGUAAUGUGAAUUGCAGAAUUCAGUGAAUCAUCGAGUCUUUGAACGCACAUUGCGCCCCCUGGUAUUCCGGGGGGCAUGCCUGUCCGAGCGUCAUUGCCGCCCUCAAGCACGGCUUGUGUGUUGGGCCCCCGCCCCCCGGCUUCGGGGGGCGGGCCCGAAAGGCAGCGGCGGCACCGCGUCCGGUCCUCGAGCGUAUGGGGCUUCGUCACCCGCUCUGUAGGCCCGGCCGGCGCCCGCCGGCGACCCCAAUCAAUCUUUCCAGGUUGACCUCGGAUCAGGUAGGGAUACCCGAUGAACUUAAGCAUAUCAAUAAGCGGAGGA